CUCCGCUUGGUGUAGUUGGUUGUCAGUACUCCCAAUACAAACUGAUCCAUGACGCAGUCAUACUAACCCGUAUUAGUAUCACGUUCGACUGUAAUAUACUUUGUAAUCGAAAGGUCCCUAGUUCGAUUCUGGGAGCGGAGA